GACGAACGCUGGCGGCGUGCUUAACACAUGCAAGUCGAACGAUGAAGCCUAGCUUGCUAGGUGGAUUAGUGGCGAACGGGUGAGUAAUACGUGAGUGACCUACCUUUGACUCUGGGAUAAGCCUGGGAAACUGGGUCUAAUACCGGAUACGACCAAUCUCCGCAUGGGGUGUUGGUGGAAAGCGUUAUGGAGUGGUUUUAGAUGGUCUCACGGCCUAUCAGCUUGUUGGUGAGGUAAUGGCUUACCAAGGCGACGACGGGUAGCCGGCCUGAGAGGGUGACCGGCCACACUGGGACUGAGACACGGCCCAGACUCCUACGGGAGGCAGCAGUGGGGAGUAUUGCACAAUGGGCGCAAGCCUGAUGCAGCGACGCCGCGUGAGGGAUGACGGCCUUCGGGUUGUAAACCUCUGUUAGCAUCGAAGAAGCGAAAGUGACGGUAGGUGCAGAGAAAGCGCCGGCUAACUACGUG
rnacentral:rRNA from 1 species